CAGUCGCCGCGUGAAUACGUAGGGGGCAAGCGUUAUCCGGAUUUACUGGGUGUAAAAGGGAGCGCAGACGGCUCUGCAAGUCUGAAGUGAAAGCCCGCGGCUUAACCGCGGGACUGCUUUGGAAACUGCAAGGCUUGAGUAUCGGAGGGGCAGGCGGAAUUCCUAGUGUAGCGGUGAAAUGCGUAGAUAUUAGGAAGAACACCGGUGGCGAAAGCGGCUCUCUGGCUUGUAGCUGACGCUGAGGCUCGAAAGCGUGGGGAGCAAACAGGAUUAGAUACCCCUGUAGUCCCUGUCUCUUAUU
rnacentral:rRNA from 1 species